UCAGAGGAUUUUUUCGAAUCCAUCAAGGUUGUAAUUUGAAAAUAGU
rfam:Picea glauca, whole genome shotgun sequence.